rnacentral:rRNA from 1 species
UACAGAGGUCCCGAGCGUUGUUCGGAUUCACUGGGCGUAAAGGGUGCGUAGGUGGUGAGGUAAGUCGGAUGUGAAAUCUCCGGGCUCAACCCGGAAACUGCAUUGGAAACUACCUUGCUUGAGGGUUUGAGGGGGGACUGGAAUUCUCGGUGUAGCAGUGAAAUGCGUAGAUAUCGAGAGGAACACCAGUGGCGAAGGCGAGUCCCUGGACAACACCUGACACUGAGGCACGAAAGCCGGGGGAGCAAACAGG